rnacentral:rRNA from 1 species
UGCAGGGGAUCGCAAGACCUUGCGCUGAUUGAGCGGCCGAUAUCAGAUUAGCUUGUUGGUGAGGUAAAAGCUCACCAAGGCGACGAUCUGUAGCGGGUCUGAGAGGAUGAUCCGCCACACUGGAACUGAGACACGGUCCAGACUCCUACGGGAGGCAGCAGUGGGGAAUUUUGGACAAUGGGGGCAACCCUGAUCCAGCCAUGCCGCGUGAGUGAAGAAGGCCUUCGGGUUGUAAAGCUCUUUCAGCCGGGAAGAAAACGCAUGGGUUAUACCCUGUGUGGAUGACGGUACCGGAAUAAGAAGCACCGGCUAACUACGUGCCAGCAGCCGCGGUAAUACGUAGGGUGCGAGCGUUAAUCGGAAUUACUGGGCGUAAAGCGUGCGCAGGCGGUUUUGUAAGACAGGCGUGAAAUCCCCGGGCUUAACCUGGGAACUGCGUUUGUGACUGCAAGGCUAGAGUACGGCAGAGGGGGGUGGAAUUCCACGUGUAGCAGUGAAAUGCGUAGAGAUGUGGAGGAACACCAAUGGCGAAGGCAGCCCCCUGGGUCGAUACUGACGCUCAUGCACGAAAGCGUGGGUAGCAAACAGGAUUAGAUACCCUGGUAGUCCACGCCCUAAACGAUGUCAACUAGGUGUUGGGAGGGUAAAACCUUUUAGUACCGGAGCUAACGCGUGAAGUUGACCGCCUGGGGAGUACGGCCGCAAGGUUAAAACUCAAAGGAAUUGACGGGGACCCGCACAAGCGGUGGAUGAUGUGGAUUAAUUCGAUGCAACGCGAAAAACCUUACCUACCCUUGACAUGCCAAGAACUUUCCAGAGAUGGAUUGGUGCCCGAAAGGGAACUUGGACACAGGUGCUGCAUGGCUGUCGUCAGCUCGUGUCGUGAGAUGUUGGGUUAAGUCCCGCAACGAGCGCAACCCUUGUCGUUAAUUGCCAUCAUUUAGUUGGGCACUUUAACGAGACUGCCGGUGACAAACCGGAGGAAGGUGGGGAUGACGUCAAGUCCUCAUGGCCCUUAUGGGUAGGGCUUCACACGUCAUACAAUGGUCGGUACAAAGGGUCGCCAAGCCGCGAGGUGGAGCCAAUCCCAGAAAGCCGAUCGUAGUCCGGAUCGCAGUCUGCAACUCGACUGCGUGAAGUCGGAAUCGCUAGUAAUCGUGGAUCAGAAUGUCACGGUGAAUACGUUCCCGGGUCUUGUACACACCGCCCGUCACACCAUGGGAGCGGGUUCCGCCAGAAGUAGGUAGCCUAACCGCAAGGAGGGCGCUUACCACGGCGGGGUUCGUGACUGGGGUGAAGUCGU